GACGAACGCUGGCGGCGUGCUUAACACAUGCAAGUCGAACGGUGAAGCGCCUUCCUUUUUGGUGGGUGUGGAUGAGUGGCGAACGGGUGAGUAACACGUGAGUAACCUGCCCCCUUCUUCUGGAUAACCGCAUGAAAGUGUGGCUAAUACGGGAUAUUCUGGGUCUGUCGCAUGAUGGGUCUGGGAAAGAUAUUGUUUCGGUGGGGGAUGGGCUCGCGGCCUAUCAGCUUGUUGGUGGGGUGAUGGCCUACCAAGGCGGUGACGGGUAGCCGGCCUGAGAGGGUGGACGGUCACACUGGGACUGAGACACGGCCCAGACUCCUACGGGAGGCAGCAGGGGGGAAUAGUGCACAAUGGGCGCAAGGCUGAUGCAGCGACGCCGCGUGAGGGAUGGAGGCCUGCGGGUUGUGAACCUCUUUCGCCAGUGAAGCAGGCCUGCCUCGUUUGUGGGUGGGUUGACGGUAGCUGGAUAAGAAGCGCCGGCUAACUACGUG
rnacentral:rRNA from 1 species